GCUUGCUCCCUUCACCCCAAGCAGGUUCAGGCAUGCUGAUUGAGAUGCAAGCUGAGUACCUCCUCCAACAGUACCAACCUCGAUAGAAGGCAUAGUCACAGAGACAUGAAGAUCCUGUCCAUCAUUAACAGCUUCCAUCAUGGUGAUGCAGUUAGAACUCUCUACGUUCUGUGCUGGAUCUUGGCCGGUUGCUAUGUAAAUUGCAGUCACUAUGUUACUGGCAUGAGCAUU
rnacentral:misc_RNA from 1 species